UGCCUUACAAGUAGAGGCAGAUGUCUUAUCUUAAAUUGUAACUUUUACCUUUAAUCACUUGCAGUAAAAAACUCAAAAUGUAAAAUCCUAUAAUCAACUGGUUGCUCUUCAGGAUCUUUUUUUUUUUCCCCCCGGUACAAUAAGAGAGAAAACCAAGAAAAAAAAAAAUUAAUUUUUACUCUAUAUUUGUUAAACUACCUUGGAAGCAUCAUAGAGACUUAAAGAAGAGGCAAACCUUGCAAUCAAAUCGGCAUAACAAUUAGCUUCACCGUAGAUAGAUGUAAGAGAUUGAAAUAAACCAAUUAAGAGAGGGAGUGAUCGAAGGGUAGGACUUGAACACGAAUCACUCAAUCGCUCAUGUAAAGGUCAUAAAUUGCAAUUAAACCGAAUCCUGUCAUAAAAGGGAAGAAUGCUUAUUCAUUACACAUCAAAAGGACAAGGAUGCCUCUGGAUCAAUAUAACUCAGAUGGGAAAGACUUGCUGCAAGUCUUAAGAGCAGCAUCAAUGCCAAGCAGAACAGUAAUAUUAACUAUGGUAGACAAAUCAUGGGCAAAACCUGGUUCUAUUGUUGAUCUUUUCCUUGAAAGCUUCAAAAUUGGCCAAGACACAGAACUACUAUUGAAUCACUUGGUCAUUGUCGCUACGGACAGUACGGCUUUUCAUUACUGAAUGAACUUCUGAAACAAGUGCUUCAAUUCGGUUACAAUCUUGUUUAUACGGUUGGUUAGCCUCUUUUUACCUUAGCUUAAUGCUUUCUGGAAAUCAACCUCGUUGUCAAAGAAGUCGCGAGUAAUCAUUUUUGUUGCAGGAUGUAGAUGUGAUGUGGCUGAGAAAUCCAUUCCCACUCUUUCAUGGUCUGGCUCAAAUGACAAUUGGGUGUGAUUCUCUUUAUUCAUCAAGCUACCAAGACAGUGACAGUGAAAUGGCAAGCGGGGGAUUCUUUUACAUUCAGGCAGAUGAAAAAUCGAUUCAGUUCUUCAACUUAUGGAGGCUAGCCCAGGUUCUGUAUCCCAACACACAAAACGAAUCCUUGUGUGAAACGGUUCUGAAAGAAGAUUUCAUUACAAUGGUUGAUUUCACACCUAUGUUUCUAAAAACAAAAUAUUAUGGUGGGUUUUGUCACCCACAUAAUGAUAUAGGCAAGAUAUACACUUUGCAUGCUAACUGUUGUGAUGAUUUGGAGAAUAAAGUUCAUGACAUAAAGAUCGUUUUUGAUGAGUUGAGAAACUACAGAUCAAUUCUGGCUGAGGGUAAUAGCUUGGGGGCAUUGUCUUAUUGGGGAAGAGCUCCGGAAAGGUGCAGGAGAAGCAAAACUUAACCUUCCGAGUCAUAAACUGGGUAUGUGGUCAAUUGCAUUAGUGCAAUUACACAAGACUAGAUUUGAAGAUAGAAAUGGUGAAAUAUGUCUAUCACAAAGAAAAAGAAAUAAAUUGUAAAAGGUGUAGAAUGAUUGUUAUCUCAGAGGAAGUUUCAGCUAUACCAAUAAAAGAGCUGCUAAUUCUACUAGAACAAAGCAACUUCUGUAAAUUUAAUUGCACAAAUAUGUUCCUUCAUACAAAGUUACCUGUUUCAGAAGUAUAUUGCUGUCUGAGAAAUGAUUCAGCACCAAUAUGACAAAGUAACCUCAAAUUGAUACAAGAAUGAGAUGUGAUUUACCUUAGAUACAAAAGGUAAAAAAAUGGAAUGCACAGAGAUAGUCAAAGAAAAUGAUUUA